CUCAUUAGCCUGCACAGUCUACUAUUUUGUUUCUUUUUUUUUAACAUAUAACAUAAUAUUUUUUUUUACUAAAAGGAAAAUCUCAAGUUAAACACAGUGAGUACAGCAAUACAGCUACAGGUGCUGCUGGCCAAGACAAGUUUAUCACGUCAACACUGGGCUGGCAACAACAACAACUGAUCGUCUCUACGUUGAUGAUAAGUGCAAUAUAGCUUUCACAUUUUCUGUGAAACCAACAUUUGUGAAAGAAUGGCCCACUCUGAGGAACUCCAGCCUGGUAGCACCAUGGGAUGUCACCUGUGCAAUAAGUCUGGGAAUUGGCAGGUCUCAAUAGAACAGUAAUUGUUUCGCUACAUUGUGUGAAGUUUGGUGCAAAGGACAUCAUUGUGUGGUGUUUUUUAAAAGAUGGCUCAGCUGCUUAUUUCCAGUGGAAGGAGAUUAGAAUGCAGUAGUACAUCAAGACAUUUUUGAUGUCUGGUCCCCUUCCUUUUCAAAUGAACAUGGUGUGGAGGACUUUGACAGAUGUGCAGAUCUUAUCUCGACCUAGAGAUUUGAAUGACAAACUGGUGCAGAAACUGUGAACCGGCCUUCUCGUCCAAGAGUAUUUGUGAGGUCAACAAUAGUGUUUGACCUCACAAAUACUCAGAAAAAAUGGUCAAAUAAUCCCAUAAACAGUACUAAUAUUUGCAUACAGUAUAAUUUCAGCUGUUGUGACUGUGAAAAAUGGAACAAAACCCUAUGAAUGUUUAUAUUAAAAAUUAUCAUUGAAGCCUUUUCUUUGUUAAGUAAUUUAAUAUUUUUGGUAAUGUAGAGUAGAUAUGCACUGCCACAUGUUAGGAUAACUUAGUAGUGUGCAGGGCUUUGCACAGACACCCCUUCUCACAUAUUUGCAUGCAACCGAUAAACUGAUGCAAACAAUGAACAUCUUUACUCUACAGAAAGGCUAAAAAUGAAGGUGUAAUCCCAGAAACCUACAUACAGUACAUACCUUAAGUAAUCCCACAGAUUUUGCAGAAACAUCCUGGCCCAGAAAUGGUACUUGUGGUGGCAGAAAUGCAGUUGGAUAACUGAGAAAAAAUGAGACUUUGACUGCUUUUCACUGUGAAAUUAGAGUGUGGGGGGUGGUGGAUCAUGAUGAACAUUUACACUAACAAGUUUCUUUUAGGAAUCAAAAGAAAAAAAGAAAAAUUCAGUGUGGUUAAAAGUAGAACCGUAUAAGUUUCUCUCUUAUAGGAUGGUUCAACAUGUAUGACGUUACCUUAGGAAAAAUAUUUUUUCCAGACUUACUUUUAGAAGGCUCCGUAAAAUUAAGUCUCAUUUGUUUACAUUUCUUCAGUUUCAUUUACAUUCAUCUUCCACUAUAAAGAACAAAAACAGCAAUGUACCAAGAAUAAAAGUAUUAAUUUGCUAACUUCAAAUGGAUUUUAUAUAUCAACUUCCUCAUUCAUAACAUGGGAAAGAUUGGCUUUGAUCAUUCUCUUUUGACUUUGUUCUUGAAUUUGAUGUACAAGAAUGUAAACGCCGACAGCACUGGCUGUUCGACAUGUAUUUAUGUUUUUAUUCCUGGCAAACAACGAUGGUGGGCUUGCAUAUGCUUCCUCUUGAAGAUCUGAGUGAGGUAUCCAUUAAACAGGUCUCCUGAUACACAGAUUCUACUCUUCCACGUACUUAUUUAAAGAGCUUUGUGCCAACGUUAAAGUUUUAUUCCAGUGUUGAUAGGAAAGUCUCUCACAGAUUUUGCAUUGAACAUACCAAGAACGCAAACAAAGCUUUUGACUGGUACAUUGCAUCUGGAAAGUAUUCACAGUGCUUCACUUUUUCCACAUUUUAUUAUGUUAAAGCCUUAUUUCUAAUUGCAUUAAUUCUACACACAAAUACCCCAUUAUGACAAUGUGAAAAAUGUUUGAGAUUUUUUCAAAUGUAUUAAAGAUGGAAAACCCAGAAAUCACAUCUACAUAAGUAUUCACAGCCUUUGCCAUGAAGAUCAAAAUUAAGCUUCUUCCACUGAUCAUCCUUGAGAUGUUUCUGCAGCUUAAAUUUUAGACAGAUUCUUACUAGUGUGUCUUGCAAGAUAAAUAUGCUUUCACCACAAAUUACUGAUGUUGAUGUGAAGAACAGCCACAUUGAAACGCACAAUUGGGCUUAUAAAUUCUGACUGGGGUAGACUGAGUUUCUCCCACAAUGGGAAGUCAAAUUCCAGUUGAUUUUUUGGACCAGGAGGUCAGAACUUUUGAGUCCCAACUCCAAACCCAGCUCAUUUGUGCCUAAUUAUCUCCACCUGUGCUCUUCAGAAUAUGAGCCUCUCCCAGCCACAGCACUAGUGGCAAAUUAUCAGAACCUACAUGCAGAUGCACUAAGCCUUUUCAAGCCAAGUUAAAACCUGUUGGAGAGUGGUGCCCAUGUCACCAAACAUGGACCAUUACUUCAACCACAUCUCCCCUGGGAUUUCUCCAUCACAUAUGAAAUAAUCUCAACAGACCUCACAGCACUGAAACCACUGGAGAGAUAGGAAAAACAGAAGGCUAGCUGAAGGGGUGGAUCCAGAGUCCAGGAAAUGUGAAACUUAAAGAAUGAUGAAGUCUAUGUUGGAGAGGUUUCCAGUAAAAAGUGGCCCCAAGCUGUGUGCAGCUGCUGCUCAUGGCUUGAUGACAAACUCCUGAUGCCUCAUUCAGCAAGUCCUGUUGCCUGCUGUGAGGAUGUCAGUCUUGUAAAAUCACUUCCUGCAAAUAGAGUUCACUGAUAAAGGGCCAAGAUGUCAUCUGCUGGUUAUCUGAGUUACAAACCAUGUUAGUCUUACUGCAGUGGAAAAUUGUGGAAGAAUGGUUCUGCCUUACCAGUGUGGUGCAGAGUGCAAGUGCAAACACAUAAUUUCCUUGUGUACAUUGCAAGGAGC